GGGCUCCACACACCAUGGCCUUGUCUGAGCCCCUGGGAUGUGCUCCCCAUUUUACAGCCCACGUCUGGGGGCUCCACACACCAUGGCCUUGUCUGAGCCCCUGGGAUGUGCUGCCCACACCUGUGCAUUGUUCUGAGCUGUUCUUGGCAGUUCAUGCUAAAAUCCACAUGCACAUUAAACCUUACACCUGGUAAUUACCUCUGCCU
rnacentral:lncRNA from 12 species